UACGUAGGGAGCAAGCGUUGUCCGGAAUCAUUGGGCGUAAAGCGCGCGUAGGUGGCUUCGUAAGUCCGUUGUGAAAGUCAAAGGCUCAACCUUUGAAAGCCGAUGGAUACUGUGAAGCUAGAGUACGGAAGAGGCGAGUGGAAUUCCUGGUGUAGCGGUGGAAUGCGCAGAUAUCAGGAGGAACACCAAUAGCGAAGGCAGCUCGCUGGGACGUUUACUGACACUGAGGCGCGAAAAGCGUGGGGAGCAAACAGGUUAG
rnacentral:rRNA from 1 species